GACGGAGGUGGCAAACGUUGCUCGGAAUUACUGGGCUUAAAGGGCGUGUAGGCGGCCGACUAAGUCGGGUGUGAAAAACCUCGGCUCAACCGAGGCAUUGCAUUCGAUACUGAUCGGCUGGAGUGCGAGAGGGGCAAGUGGAACUCCAGGUGUAGCGGUGAAAUGCGUAGAUAUCUGGAGGAACGCCGGUGGCGAAAGCGACUUGCUGGCUCGUAACUGACGCUGAGGCGCGAAAGCUAGGGGAGCAAACGGGAUUAGAUACCCCGGUAGUCCUAGCCCUAAACGAUGAGCACUUGGCUGUGGUCCGUCCACUGGAUCACAGCCGCAGCGAAAGUGGUAAGUGCUCCGCCUGGGGAGUACGGUCGCAAGGCUGAA
rnacentral:rRNA from 1 species